rnacentral:rRNA from 1 species
GAUGAACGCUGGCGGCGUGCCUAAUACAUGCAAGUCGAGCGAACGGACGAGAAGCUUGCUUCUCUGAUGUUAGCGGCGGACGGGUGAGUAACACGUGGAUAACCUACCUAUAAGACUGGGAUAACUUCGGGAAACCGGAGCUAAUACCGGAUAAUAUUUUGAACCGCAUGGUUCAAAAGUGAAAGACGGUCUUGCUGUCACUUAUAGAUGGAUCCGCGCUGCAUUAGCUAGUUGGUAAGGUAACGGCUUACCAAGGCAACGAUGCAUAGCCGACCUGAGAGGGUGAUAGGCCACACUGGAACUGAGACACGGUCCAGACUCCUACGGGAGGCAGCAGUAGGGAAUCUUCCGCAAUGGGCGAAAGCCUGACGGAGCAACGCCGCGUGAGUGAUGAAGGUCUUCGGAUCGUAAAAAUCUGUUAUUAGGGAAGAACAGAUGUGUAAGUAACUGUGCACAUCUUGACGGUACCUAAUCAGAAAGCCACGGCUAACUACGUG